rnacentral:misc_RNA from 1 species
AAAUAUCUCUCUCAACUGUUACUUUUUCGGCAUGCCCUCAUCUCAGACCAUAUUAUUUGUCGAAUUGUAGCAGUUUUUGCGAUUCAAUCUCAGGGGAUGGAUCGAGCCAGCGCCGAGGUGGAGGCUCCACUGCUUUCGAAUCACAACUCUCGAACGAGGGAGAACCGGUGGGUGAUAUGGAGGGCAGUGUUCAAUGUGUCCACUACUAUUAUUGGUGCAGGAAUUAUGUCAAUCCCAGCUACUUUAAAGGUCCUAGGUGUUGUUCCCGCAUUCGUCUUGAUUGUUCUGGUAGCUUUGUUAGUAGACAUAACGGUAAAUUUCAU